UGAACCUGCGGAAGGAUCAUUAUUGAAUUU
rnacentral:rRNA from 1 species